GCGGAUGUGGCGGAAUAGGCAGACGCGUGCGUUUCAGGUGCGCAUGCCGCAAGGCGUAUGGGUUCAAGUCCCUUCAUCCGCA
rnacentral:tRNA from 1 species